GGUUAAGUGACUAAGCGUACACGGUGGAUGCCUUGGCAGUCAGAGGCGAUGAAGGACGUAGUAACUUGCGAUAAGCGUAGAUGAGGCAGUAACAGCCACUUGAGUCUACGAUUUCCGAAUGGGGAAACCCACUGGCAUAAGCCAGUAUCAUUGAGUGAAUACAUAGCUCAAUGAAGCGAACCGGGAGAACUGAAACAUCUAAGUACCCCGAGGAAAAGAAAUCAACCGAGAUUCCGAAAGUAGCGGCGAGCGAAAUUGGAUUAGCCCUUAAGCUUUACAUGUGUUAGACGAACGGUCUGGAAAGUCCGACGAUACAGGGUGAUAGUCCCGUAGUUGUAGACGCAUGUUCAGUGAAAUCGAGUAGGGCGGGACACGUGUUAUCCUGUCUGAAUAUGGGGGGACCAUCCUCCAAGGCUAAAUACUCCUGACUGACCGAUAGUGAACCAGUACCGUGAGGGAAAGGCGAAAAGAACCCCUGUGAGGGGAGUGAAAUAGAACCUGAAACCGUGUACGUACAAGCAGUAGGAGCACCUUCGUGGUGUGACUGCGUACCUUUUGUAUAAUGGGUCAGCGACUUAUAUUCAGUGGCAAGGUUAACCAUCUAGGGGAGCCGUAGGGAAACCGAGUCUUAACUGGGCGUCAUAGUCUCUGGAUAUAGACCCGAAACCGAGUGAUCUAGCCAUGGGCAGGUUGAAGGUUGAGUAACAUCAACUGGAGGACCGAACCGACUAAUGUUGAAAAAUUAGCGGAUGACUUGUGGCUAGGGGUGAAAGGCCAAUCAAACUCGGAGAUAGCUGGUUCUCCCCGAAAGCUAUUUAGGUAGCGCCUCGGACGAAUACUACUGGGGGUAGAGCACUGUUAAGGCUAGGGGGUCAUCCCGACUUACCAACCCUUUGCAAACUCCGAAUACCAGUAAGUACUAUCCGGGAGACACACGGCGGGUGCUAACGUCCGUCGUGGAGAGGGAAACAACCCAGACCGCCAGCUAAGGUCCCAAAUUACAGCUAAGUGGGAAACGAUGUGGGAAGGCUUAGACAGCUAGGAUGUUGGCUUAGAAGCAGCCAUCAUUUAAAGAAAGCGUAAUAGCUCACUAGUCGAGUCGGCCUGCGCGGAAGAUGUAACGGGGCUAAGUUGUAAACCGAAGCUGCGGCAAUAUCUUUUAGAUAUUGGGUAGGGGAGCGUUCUGUAAGCCGUUGAAGGUGUGUUGUAAAGCAUGCUGGAGGUAUCAGAAGUGCGAAUGCUGACAUGAGUAACGACAAGGGGGGUGAAAAACCUCCCCGCCGGAAGACCAAGGGUUCCUGUCCAACGUUAAUCGGGGCAGGGUAAGUCGACCCCUAAGGCGAGGCCGAAAGGCGUAGUCGAUGGGAAACGGGUUAAUAUUCCCGUACUUCUUACAAUUGCGAUGGGGGGACGGAGAAGGCUAGGUGGGCCUGGCGACGGUUGUCCAGGUUCAAGUGCGUAGGCUGAGUGUUUAGGUAAAUCCGGACACUCUUAAGGCUGAGACACGACGUCGAGCUACUACGGUAGUGAAGUCAUUGAUGCCAUGCUUCCAGGAAAAGCCUCU
rnacentral:rRNA from 1 species